rnacentral:rRNA from 1 species
GCGGAAGGAUCAUUAAAGUUAUAGUCCCCUGGCCCUCUGGGCUGGGGUCUUCUAUACCACCCUUUGUUUAUUACACCUUUGUUGCUUUGGCAGGCCUGCCCUCGGGCUGCUGGCUCCGGCCGGCUCGCGUUUGCCAGAGGACCUAAACUCUGUUUGUAUAUGAAGUCUGAGUACUAUAUAAUAGUUAAAACUUUCAACAACGGAUCUCUUGGUUCUGGCAUCGAUGAAGAACGCAGCGAAAUGCGAUAAGUAAUGUGAAUUGCAGAAUUCAGUGAAUCAUCGAAUCUUUGAACGCACAUUGCGCCCCCUGGUAUUCCGGGGGGCAUGCCUGUUCGAGCGUCAUUACAACCCUCAAGCUCUGCUUGGUGUUGGGCCCCGCCGCCCCGGCGGGCCCUAAAAUCAGUGGCGGUGCCGUCCGGCUCCGAGCGUAGUAAUUCUUCUCGCCCUGGAGGUCCGGGUGUGUGCUCGCCAGCAACCCCCAAUUUUUUUCANGUUGACCUCGGAUCAGUAGGGAUGCCCGCUGAACUUAAGCAUAUCAAUAAGCGGAGGAAAAGAAACCAACAGGGAUUACCUCAGUAACGGCGAGUGAAGCGGUAACAGCUCAAAUUUGAAAUCUGGGCUCACGGUUCGAGUUGUAAUUUGUAGAGGAUGCUUCGAGCAUGGUCUGG